CGCGGCCUAUCAGCUUGUUGGCGGGGUAAUGGCCCACCAAGGCGACGACGGGUAGCCGGCCUGAGAGGGCGACCGGCCACACUGGGACUGAGACACGGCCCAGACUCCUACGGGAGGCAGCAGUGGGGAAUAUUGCGCAAUGGGCGGAAGCCUGACGCAGCGACGCCGCGUGAGGGAUGAAGGCCUUCGGGUCGUAAACCUCUUUCAGCAGGGAAGAAGCGCAAGUGACGGUACCUGCAGAAGAAGCACCGGCUAACUACGUGCCAGCAGCCGCGGUAAUACGUAGGGUGCAAGCGUUGUCCGGAAUUAUUGGGCGUAAAGAGCUCGUAGGCGGUCUGUCGCGUCUGCUGUGAAAACUCAGGGCUUAACCCUGAGCUUGCAGUGGGUACGGGCAGACUAGAGUGCGGUAGGGGAGACUGGAAUUCCUGGUGUAGCGGUGAAAUGCGCAGAUAUCAGGAGGAACACCGGUGGCGAAGGCGGGUCUCUGGGCCGUAACUGACGCUGAGGAGCGAAAGCAUGGGGAGCGAACAGGAUUAGAUACCCUGGUAGUCCAUGCCGUAAACGUUGGGCGCUAGGUGUGGGGCUCUUUCCAUGAGUUCCGUGCCGCAGCUAACGCAUUAAGCGCCCCGCCUGGGAGUACGGA
rnacentral:rRNA from 1 species